rnacentral:rRNA from 1 species
GAUGAACGCUGGCGGCGUGCCUAAUACAUGCAAGUCGAGCGAACAGACGAGGAGCUUGCUCCUCUGACGUUAGCGGCGGACGGGUGAGUAACACGUGGAUAACCUACCUAUAAGACUGGGAUAACUUCGGGAAACCGGAGCUAAUACCGGAUAAUAUAUUGAACCGCAUGGUUCAAUAGUGAAAGACGGUUUUGCUGUCACUUAUAGAUGGAUCCGCGCCGCAUUAGCUAGAUGGUAAGGUAACGGCUUACCAAGGCAACGAUGCGUAGCCGACCUGAGAGGGUGAUCGGCCACACUGGAACUGAGACACGGUCCAGACUCCUACGGGAGGCAGCAGUAGGGAAUCUUCCGCAAUGGGCGAAAGCCUGACGGAGCAACGCCGCGUGAGUGAUGAAGGUCUUCGGAUCGUAAAACUCUGUUAUUAGGGAAGAACAAAUGUGUAAGUAACUAUGCACGUCUUGACGGUACCUAAUCAGAAAGCCACGGCUAACUACGUG